UACGUAGGGCGCAAGCGUUAUCCGGAAUUAUUGGGCGUAAAGAGCUCGUAGGCGGUUUGUUGCGUCGGCUGUGAAAACCUACAGCUUAACUGUGGGCGUGCGGUCGAUACGGGCAUCACUGGAGUUCGGCAGGGGAGACUGGAAUUCCUGGUGUAGCGGUGAAAUGCGCAGAUAUCAGGAGGAACACCGGUGGCGAAGGCGGGUCUCUGGGCCGAUACUGACGCUGAGGAGCGAAAGCGUGGGGAGCGAACAGG
rnacentral:rRNA from 1 species